GUCAUUGUCUCCCACCCUGUCCCGGCUUGAAUCUGGUCUUCCCACCUGUCCUUGCCCUGGGUCCAGCCCUCAAGUCGCCUGGGCAACUCACCCUGACGUCAGGGCUGCUCUGGCAGCUGGCCUAGAGGGGAAGCAGCUGGCAGCUGAUUGUGUUUCCAGACAGGGAACAGACACCGAGCCCUGAAGAUAAAUGGCCAAGGUCAACAGCAAGCAAGGUUCUGGGGGACCCCAGACAUCACUACGAUAAAGCCAAAGGUGGACACUGGGUGGGGUUAUCUAUAGGAACCUGGAGGUUCUGCCUGCAAAGUUGGAUGUCUACUUGUUUUGUGACAGAUUCCUCACAAUGGAGGAAACUCUCUCUCCCAGGAUUCAGUUUCCCCGUCUGUAAAGGAGAACGGACUGUCAGCAAAAUAAGAACGGAAACAGCUUCUUAGACUUAGGUGACACCGUGCCUCAGUUUCCCUAUCUGAAGUGAUGCCUCACCAGGUAUGGUGACUUGUGCCACAGUUCCAUCCCUCUGGAGGCUGAGGCAGGAGGGUUGUUUGAAGUUAGGAAUCUGAGACCAGCCUGAAGAUAUACUGAGAGAAUACUGAUGUCUGCCUCCCGCGGUCAUGGUAUACUUCUGUGGGAUGUAGCUUACAAAGAUGUAAGCAUGUAGUUUGUGUUCCACAGAUCUCAGCACUGAUGCCAGAACUCCACCAGCAGCCCCAAACACCCGUGGAACGAGACAUUCAGGACAUUGCACACCUGGUCAUCUUAGUUUCUUCAGCGAACUGAGAACAAGCACCAAACUGUAAAAUGUACGUCAUAAUGCUGAUCUCACACCUUUGAAGAUUAGGGAUAGUAUGCACUUUGUUAGGUGUGUUAGUGUGCUGUGUGUGCUGUGUGUGUGUGUUGUCCUAAGGAUUGACACUGGGCCCUGCACACUUGUGUACCCUUGUGCAUCCUUGUGGAUUCCAAUUUUUUAUUGUCUUUAACACACUCCUCAUAAGGUCGGCUCCAAGAGUAAACAAAAUAAUGCAGAUA